CGUAACUUCCCAACUUCGAUAUUCAAUGCCAUGACUGAUGAAGGAUGUGGGUGUUGCUGACUGUGCUAACGUUUAUUGCCCAUUCCUAAUAAACCAUAGAGGGUGGCAGUGAGCAGCCUUUUUGAACUGCUGCAGUCCUGGAAGGGAGAUUGAUGGGGCUGGAGAGGAGCGACCUCGGCAGAAGAUCUAGCAUCGGCUUCUUUGAGGUAUCUUGGGAGUCAAACUGGUGAAAGUGCAGGAAUUUAAGCUGGAAAAUGUGGAAUGUCCUCUAAACUUCAGUAAAAUAACAUUCAUUCUCUUGACUGGUCACUGGUGACAACCAUGACAAUCUGCUUGACUAUAUUAAAAGCAAUGCAAGACAGAAGCAUUGUAAGGCUAAACAGUCUGAAUGAUGCACCAACAUGCAAAAAGCCAAGGAAAGGCAUAGGUGCUGUUAGAUUCCAAUAGGAACAAAGUGUGUUGUGCAUGAAUAACGCGAGAGAAGAGCCCAGAGAAGCAACCCAUUCUGAUGCAUAUGUUCGGCGUCUUUCAGUGUACAAAUUGGCUUGGCAGCAGCAUUAUAAUGAAAGGUAUCAAGGCACUCUGAAAUGCACUUCAAAUAUGGUGAACUGUUUUCUAAGUGAGUAGGGGAUAUGCCAUGAUAAUACGGUGAGGCUGGUUUGUGUCCAAUGUCAACCUCCAUGGCCAGUCCAUGCCCAAGCAGGCGAUCCCUCGAUGCUAAGGAAUGCUGGUCAAGAUGGAAGCCUAGAGGAGCAGUCAUGAGCUGGGGUUGCCGGGCAGCUGCUCAAGCCUCCGUGUCAGGAAUUGUUGCUGUAACUUUCUCUCCACUGCCUUGGACUACAACAAACUGCAUAUAAAUGAGGCAGUAAUAAUGAGAUGGCGAAUGCAUGUAAAUAGCCACUUGCUAUGUAGAAACAAGGUUCUUGCUUCAUUUGGGUGGAAGAUCAGACUUAUUUGCUUAACAUUUAGAAUUUUAUUUUGCCAUUCUUUUCAUAUGGGGCUGGGAAAAUUCCAGUCACAGAGAUUGAAAUGACUUAAACUCACAGCCAAGAUGGCUAUUUCCAUUUCCAUUAUUAUACAUUUCAUAUUCUGAUUCAUUCUGUCUGCAAAACUCAACAAAGACAAUGACUUCAAGAAGCAUGAUGGACUCGCAUCUCCUGUCUCAUUAGUGAGGCAUCUGCGCAAUCAUCUGAGUUGUUCACCUCUUGGAGAUAAGUCAUUAAGAUGAGUUGCUUGGACAACGAAAUCUUGGCUAACACGUGGCUUUCAAGUACGAAUUAAGGACAUCAUCUUUGGAAUAUACAGGCAAUCGUUGUUUUUGAUCCCUCUGGCAGUUGUGGAAGGCAGAUCACAGGAAAGUCAUCACUGUUGUAAAUUUUAAUCAUGUGUUUCUCCAGCAGAAACAAAGCUUUAGGUUUAAAGAUUUAAAUGGGGUCCCCCCUGCCAGCCAUUGGCAGCCUGCUAUUGGGGUAAAGUCCUGCCACACCAGUCAUCUUUUCUAUAAUGGAUCUAAAGGUCUAUUCAAUUAACAGUAGAAAGGGUUGAAUUGUUAAUUAGUCUUUACAAGAAGAGUUGCUUAUCUUAACAAUAAGGUUUUCGUUGGUACCUGAUAAAAAUACGUACAAAUUAUAUUAUCAUAUUGGACAUAGCCAGAGAUGUCAUGUCUAAUCCCAUUAGCAUAUAAAGCUGGACUCCUUGAUUCUCUGUCCACGGUGUGACAUCAUCAGAUUGGGUGGAGCCUUAUGCAGUCUCCAAAAUUAACCUUUUCAGACACAUUCCCUUCUACAGACAGCCUCCUUCACUCUUCAACUCACCUGGCAACCCAUGUUGGGGAGUGAGUUUAAAUUCUGUUUUCUGACUAUGAACAUUUAGUGAAGUUCUACUGCAGAAAGAAAUCUAUUACAAGAAUCCAGCUGAGCAGUACAGCCUCCAGUGGAAUAAUCAACUCAAUCAUCGAUGUCUUCAAAUUAGAAGCAGCAAAGCUAUUGAAUCUGUUCUGAAGCCAGAUGAGACACCAAAUUACAGGCUUAUCCUCUUUUAAGACUUUUUAUAAUUUGACCACCUUAUGUAAUGAUUGUAUGACCCCACUCCGGAAUUUGUAUGUGAACUCCAAC